GGGGAUUUAGCUCAGUGGUAGAGCGCUUGCCUAGCACGUGCAAGGCCCUGGGUUCAGUCCCCA
rnacentral:tRNA from 1 species